CUCCAGACACACGCAGAACCAGCCCACACGGAGGCCUCCCUCACCUGCUGCUUUGCAGUCCCUUUGAAGUUUCGGACUCUCCGAGUGGCACCAGAGGACAAGUCCACUGAGCAGGGCCCAUUUCUAGUCCAGGGCCUACGCCGCUUAAGGGAAAACCUGUUCUCACUUUCAGUUGCUGUCGUGUAUUUUUAUUUAUUUUCACAACAAAGGAAACGUAUUUUUUUUCCUUUUAUCAAAGUAUUUGCUUUUUAAUUGUAUUGCCCUAAAGACUCAUUUUCCCAUUUCAAUCCUAACUAGCAAUGUGACCUAGGGCAUAUCACCUAACUUCGUGUCUCAGUGUCUUCAUCUAUAAUUUAGGAAUAAUAACACCUUCUACUUCACUGAAUUUUUAGAGAAUUAAAUGAGGUAAUAAUGGACAGUGCCUCGCACAGGGUGAAUGCUAUGCCUAUGCAGUUUUUGCUGAUGCUAUUAGUCCCUAGGCCGCAGCCCAGGGUAGACAGUGUGGGGUCUAUGUGUGGAAGGAGCACAGGAUUGGUGUGAAAGGCUUCUAGGUGGCUCCGCCCUGCAGGAUGUUGAGACUGUGAGCAAGUCACUUAACCACUCAGGUCAGCUGAGCCCUCUCUACCAGGGGCCUGAGGGACUCACAGACACAGAAUAUGCAACAGACCUCAAAGAGAGGCCCUGGCCUGUUGUAAAUGACCCUCAGGCUCCAGGCUGCUGCUGCCAGGGAAGUCUAGGAGG
rnacentral:lncRNA from 10 species